rnacentral:lncRNA from 1 species
CCAAUAUUAAAUUUAGUCAAUUUAAAAUGCGUUGAAAAACUAACUCAAAUUCUACCAUUCAUUUAGAAUAGCAUUUUCAAAUUUGUGUAAAAUACGUUGCAACUUGUAGCUGAGAAUUUGGAGUAUGAGUUGUGCUGCAAUUUGACACUCCUUUGAAUUCUAAUUACAUCACAUUGAUCAUAUAUAACCUUGUUGGACAUGGCUCAUUGACGCUUUAAGACUUAUACCAUCCAUCCAUUGACUUUUGAUUUUAAUUACAAUUCUAUUACUUUAAUUUUGUCUAAGAAA